UUAUAUGCUGAUAACACAAGACCUCUCCCUCCAGCUAUAGGACACACCCCCUUCAUCUAAGAUGCUGUUAUUGUGUUUAUAAAGAGCUUCUCUGACCUCAUUCUGAUAUAGAGACCAACAGCAGCGUAAAGAUGCCUACAAAGAGUAUGGCGGUUAUAUGAAAUAUACAUAAAUAGUAAUAUUAAUAGUAAUGGGUAGUUUAGAAUUAUAGUAAUAGUGAUGCUUGUCCUAAUACACACCACGAAAUAUAACAUAUAACAUUCCUGCCAUAUUUCAAAAAGUUUAUCUUUUUUUUUUUUUUUUUUUUGAACCUUAUAAUUGUAUUGACGAAAAAUGGACAAAAUAAGAGUUUCCUCCCUGGUCAAUCUCAGGCCACCAAACUGCGACUAAUGUUAAAUAUUUACAGCAAUAAUUUUAAAAUCAAAUAAACUUUGAAAAUCAGGAAAAAAAAAAAUUUGCGAGUCGAUCUUAUUAACGUAAGGACAGAAGUGAUGUCCGAUUCGCGUGCAAAUGACUCCUGUGAACCAGUUCUUUUGGUCAAAAAGAUUCACGAAACAACCUCGAACUCGUUAUGAAUCGUGAUUCGCGACUCUUGUGAACAGGUUCUUUUGAAUAAGUCAGUCAAAAAGAUUCACAAAACAACCUCGAACUCGUUUUACAUCGUGAUUCGCGUGCAAAAUGACUCUUGUGAACCAGUCACUCAAAAAGAUCCACGAAACAACCUGGAACUCGAAGCCCUUUUGAAUCAGUCAUCGAAUCGUUCAGAGCCGUUACGAAGUUCCCAACCGACUCCCUCACAGAAACUCGCGGCAUUUAUCCAAUUUGAAAAGAACCGGGAACCGUUACUGCGACUAACUUCAGGUGGCAGCGGUGAGGUGUGUCGCACCUGUCCGAGGGAGGCAGACGCGGCAUUGUACACGAGUGCGGCCGGAGAGGGUCCCACGGCCGUUCCGUCUGCGUGCUGCAGUCCGUUGUCCGGUUGUACUGCAGGCUCCGCCCCCGGCCCUCGAUCUGAAGCGUGAUUGGCUGCUCAUAGCUGGCCAGGAUACGGAAGGCCUCUCGCUUCGGCAGAUGGAGUCUGAUGUCAAACCUGUUGAGCUUCCUGGAGUUUUCGGGAUCCAAGCAUGACCUCUGACCCUUCAGCUGCAGGGUGUGAUUGGCUGAUGGUUGUAUCUGGGCAGAUCUGAGCGCUGCUGUGUCCUCCACUAUCCCAUCAUUCUCUCUGGAGCAGCAGCAGCGCAGGCUGGGAUACUCACCACCGCCAGCGGCCCGACAUGCACCGCGACACACGGCAACGCUGCCCGCGCGAUCACCAGCGGUGGACGCAGUACAUCAGUCCUCCAGCAGGCGGCGCUGCCCGUCAGUAUUUCAUACAGCACAAUCAGUUUUUAAAUGCUUAAUUUAAAGACACGCUAUGUUAUACAUAUAUAUGUAUAUAUAUAUUAUACUACAAAAGGUAAGUUUUCAGUCCUAAUUAUUUAGCACAUGAUCUUUUGAAAUGGUAUAAAUAACAGAUGAAAUAAGAAGGUUGAAGUCUGUUUGAGCCACAGCGCGCCCCCUGCUGUCCUCAAAGAGAAUCACAUCGGAUCCUCGUGCCUGACUUCCGGCUUCUUUGCGUUUCUGCUCUCCAUACACCGGAACCGGAAGAAUGUAAUAAUACUGUAAUAUCACAUGGGGGAAAUGUCCACCGCCAACUUUCACUGAGCAAAUUUAAACAGCAAAAAAAAAAAAAAAAAAAAAGUUUUGGAGAUUAAAAUCAGGCUGUCUAUCCAAAUAAUAAUCCAUCAAUGCCCCCCAAAAAUUCUAAAGUUAAUACUGUUGCUUCAAAGUAAUUUCUGACAAAUGUUUUUUUUAUUUUUUUUAUUAUACCUUCUUUAUAUGUACUUUUUUUUUUUUUUAUAUUAUGCAUAUAUAUAUAGUUAAAAACAAUAAAUAAAUAAUAAACUAUAUAGUUAAUAAUAAUAAUAAUAAUAUAAAGAAUUAUUCUAAUGUUCAGCUGUUUUGUAGUAUUUAAACACUUUCUUUAUAUUCCACACUGGCCUUAGACAUUAUAAAGUUAGUAUCAUUCUGAAAAAAAUAAUCCCAUGAUUCAACUGUCACAACAAACACUGAAGGCACACGCAGCAGGUUACGAACAGCAGCUUUUGUUUACUGUGUAAAUCCUGCAUUAAAAUCACAAUCAACAUAAAUCUCUGAAUCAUAUUAGUAAAUCACAUACUCUUCAUCUUAUUCUCAUUAUUUACAAUGAUUAAACUCUGGAGGACAAAAAACAUCAGCUACGAUGAACCAUCGACACGCGCUGUGAUGAUGUCAUCACAUUCAGUCAUCUCUGAUUGGUGGAGCGGCAACGACUCCACCCAACAACAGCGGCGUGUCAGACGCAACACUCUACGAGAGCGCCAUCAGGAUGUGACAUCAGAUGAUGACAAACAUUUAAAGUGCUUUGAUUGGCUGAUCUGCAGAGGCUUCAGAGAGAGUUCAGAAUCUGCAUCGUGACGUUAUUUUCAUGACAAUAAAACACUGUUUCCACAAAUUCACAUUACUGUAAUGCAAAAAUAUUUGUUUUCAUUACCGUAACAAAAAAUAUAUUCUC